rnacentral:sRNA from 1 species
GGUGUGUGUGAGUGUGAAUGUGAGCAAGAGGGUGAGUGUGGGCAAAGCUACUCCACCCCCAGACUGCAAUGCUACCAAUAAAGCCACCUGGUGUUUACAAUUAAUUGAUCACAACCAGUUACAGAUUUCUUUGUUCUUUCUUCAUUCUCACUGCUUUACUUGACUAGCCAAAA